UACGUAGGGGGCAAGCGUUGUCCGGAUUUAUUGGGCGUAAAGAGCGUGUAGGCGGCCAGAUAGGUCCGUUGUGAAACUGGAGGCUUAACCUCCAGCUGUCGAUGGAAACCAUCUGGCUAGAGUCCGGAAGAGGAGAGUGGAAUUCCUGGUGUAGCGGUGAAAUGCGCAGAUAUCAGGAAGAACACCCGUGGCGAAGGCGGCUCUCUGGGACGGUACUGACGCUGAGACGCGAAAGCGUGGGAGCGAACAGG
rnacentral:rRNA from 1 species